rnacentral:rRNA from 1 species
GACGUAGGGUGCAAGCGUUGUCCGGAAUCAUUGGGCGUAAAGAGCGUGUAGGCGGUCCGGUAAGUCGGCUGUGAAAGUCCAAGGCUCAACCUUGGGAUGCCGGUCGAUACUGCCGGACUAGAGUUCGGAAGAGGCGAGUGGAAUUCCCGGUGUAGCGGUGAAAUUCGUAGAUAUCGGGAGGAACACCGGUGGCGAAGGCGGCGACCUGGGUAGAUACUGACGCUGAGGCGCGAAAGCGUGGGGAGCAAACAGG